UACGUAGGGCGCAAGCGUUAUCCGGAAUUAUUGGGCGUAAAGAGCUCGUAGGCGGUUUGUCGCGUCUGCCGUGAAAGUCCGGGGCUCAACUCCGGAUUUGCGGUGGGUACGGGCAGACUAGAGUGAUGUAGGGGAGACUGGAAUUCCUGGUGUAGCGGUGAAAUGCGCAGAUAUCAGGAGGAACACCGAUGGCGAAGGCAGGUCUCUGGGCAUUAACUGACGCUGAGGAGCGAAAGCAUGGGGAGCGAACAGG
rnacentral:rRNA from 1 species